rnacentral:rRNA from 1 species
CAGUCGCCGCGGUAAUACGUAGGUGGCAAGCGUUGUCCGGAAUUGUUGGGCGUAAAGGGCUCGCAGGCGGUUUCUUAAGUCUGAUGUGAAAGCCCCCGGCUCAACCGGGGAGGGUCAUUGGAAACUGGGAAACUUGAGUGCAGAAGAGGAGAGUGGAAUUCCACGUGUAGCGGUGAAAUGCGUAGAGAUGUGGAGGAACACCAGUGGCGAAGGCGACUCUCUGGUCUGUAACUGACGCUGAGGAGCGAAAGCGUGGGGAGCGAACAGGAUUAGAUACCCCAGUAGUCCCUGUCUCUUAUAC